GACGAACGCUGGCGGCGUGCCUAAUACAUGCAAGUCGAACGCUGAAGGAGGAGCUUGCUUCUCUGGAUGAGUUGCGAACGGGUGAGUAACGCGUAGGUAACCUGCCUGGUAGCGGGGGAUAACUAUUGGAAACGAUAGCUAAUACCGCAUAACAGUAGAUAUCGCAUGAUAUCUACUUGAAAGGUGCAAUUGCAUCACUACCAGAUGGACCUGCGUUGUAUUAGCUAGUUGGUGAGGUAACGGCUCACCAAGGCGACGAUACAUAGCCGACCUGAGAGGGUGAUCGGCCACACUGGGACUGAGACACGGCCCAGACUCCUACGGGAGGCAGCAGUAGGGAAUCUUCGGCAAUGGACGGAAGUCUGACCGAGCAACGCCGCGUGAGUGAAGAAGGUUUUCGGAUCGUAAAGCUCUGUUGUAAGAGAAGAACGAGUGUGAGAGUGGAAAGUUCACACUGUGACGGUAGCUUACCAGAAAGGGACGGCUAACUACGUG
rnacentral:rRNA from 1 species